rnacentral:lncRNA from 1 species
UUCUUCCAGCUUCUGCCUGCAUUACCCACUUUAGUCUACCAGGAACCCUAUAAAGUAAGUGUUAUUAUCACCCACUUUAUUUUACAGAGUCUCAAACUGAAGCACAGAGAGAUUCAGUGAAGAUCAUUCAAGUUGCACGGCUACCAAGUAGCAGAGGGGACACCCAGGCCUACCUGAGUGUGGCCCAAAGCAGGAGCACACAGAAAAUCCCAGGGAGCUCCCUUCCAUCCGAGCUCCCUGCAGCCUGGAGGUGCGUGCCUGGCCUGGGUUACUCUGGUUCACAGGCGCUCCCUCUGCCUCGCGCAUACCAGACCAUCCUGGGAAGCAGUCAGCUCUCAGAACCUGGUGUCUCAGGAAGAUGCCACGUGGCUUCGGGCUGCUCUGAUGAAACACAUAAUGCGGGUAUUUUUAUGGGCCUCUGAGGAUUCUGGCAGGAUGACCUCAUGCCAGGAAUAACAAUGAGGGGCCCCGGGGAGCUUGCUGCCAGCCCUGCUGCAUGAGGCAGGAGGAUGGGAGCCAGGCGACGGCAGGACAGGGCUGGGAUAACCUUGUCCACAGAUGUCCCAAGGAAGGGCCCCCAGGGCCUCCCCCUCCCUUUCUCCUCCUGAGCAGGGGAGUGUCCCUCCAGCACUGAGAGCAAAGGGUGGGGGGGUUUUCUAGGAGCCAAGCCAAGGCAAUGCCAGCCAAGUGGUGCGCCUCUUUUGAGCACUUGCUGUGUGCUGGGCUGUGCCUGCACUUUGCAGCCCUACUGGGUGCCAGAGGCUGUGUAGGUGCUUAGCACUUGCUAGCCCAGUCCUCAGAAUACCCCAGGAGAGGUGUCACUGCGAUGCCCACAGGAGGAAGCUGAGGUUCCGAGAGGCUGGGUGAUUUGCCUAACGAGCUCAUGUUUGUAGGUGGAUGAGGUUUGAGGAGGGUUCAGCUGGUUUAAGCCCAGUUGCUUACUGGUUAUGCUCUGCUGCCUUUCUCUUCAAAAAACCCGUGUCUGAUUCUGUCUUUGUGUCAUGUACAUCCUGAGGGGUCUUGGUCCAGGGAACAGAAUGUUGAAUAUGACGGUCUGGGCACCGUGUGAGUGGAAUGGUGGCCCUCCAAGGGACAUGUCCUCACCCCCGAACUUCUGAAUGUGGCCUCACCUCGAUAAAGGAUAUUUGCCGACAUAAUUGGGUGAAGGAUCUUGAGAUGAGAUCACUGUGGAUUCCCUAGGUGUCCUUAAAUUCAGUGACAAAUGUCCUGAUAGAAGGCAGUAGAGAAGAGGGAGAGAAGAUGGGUCAUGUGAAGGAGACAGACAAUGGAGUGACACAGCCACAAGCCACGGAAUGCCAGGGCCUCCCAGAGCUUCAGGAGCAAAGAAGUCUCUAGAGUCUUUGAAGAGAGCGGGCCUUAGCACAUUCUGUUCACUAGAAAUCAGUGUCCACGUCCAGCCCACGCUCAGCUAGAGGGGGCUACACCAGGGCAGAAACCACGGGGGCACCCCAGUGCCAGGAGGCAGGAGCCCCCCACCUCUAUGUCUGAUGACACCAAGGCACCAGCCCCCAACUGAAAGGGGACAGCCAUCAUUUAACACUUUUAAGGACUAACUUUGAGCUGGGGCUCUAGCCCAGGGGCAGAGUGCUUGCCUAGCAGGUGAGACACUGGGUUCGAUUCUCAGCACCACAUAUUCACAAAUAAAUAUGUCCUUCGACAACUAAAAAUAAAUAAAUAAAUUAAAAAAACUAACAUUUACUGUGCACCAGCGGUGUCAGCUCCCAUGCUAUACUCUUCAAGUCUGUCACCCACGCCGUGUCAUUUAACCCUCCCGUGAGUGCCGCAAAGGGAGGUGUUCCUGUCUCCAUUCCACAGAGGAGAAAAGGUGAAGGGCACCCGGGAACCUAUCAGAACAAGUCAGGGGCCCUCAGACUUUAGCCAC